CCUACGGGAGGCAGCAGUGGGGGAUAUUGCACAAUGGGGGAAACCCUGAUGCAGCGACGCCGCGUGUGGGAAGACGGUCCUCUGUAUUGUAAACCACUGUCCCCAGGGACGAAGAUGACGGUACCUGGGGAGGAAGCUCCGGCUAACUACGUGCCAGCAGCCGCGGUAAUACGUAGGGAGCGAGCGUUGUCCGGAAUUACUGGGUGUAAAGGGAGCGUAGGCGGGACUGCAAGUUGGGUGUCAAAUCUACCGGCUCAACCGGUAGCCGCACUCAAAACUGCAGUUCUUGAGUGAAGUAGAGGCAGGCGGAAUUCCUAGUGUAGCGGUGAAAUGCGUAGAUAUUAGGAGGAACACCAGUGGCGAAGGCGGCCUGCUGGGCUUUUACUGACGCUGAGGCUCGAAAGUGUGGGUAGCAAACAGGAUUAGAUACCCUUGUAGUC
rnacentral:rRNA from 1 species